GCUUCGGUGGUGGAUUAGUGGCGAACGGGUGAGUAACACGUGGGCAAUCUGCCCUGCACUCUGGGACAAGCCCUGGAAACGGGGUCUAAUACCGGAUACGACACAGGAAGGCAUCUUCUCUGUGUGGAAAGCUCCGGCGGUGCAGGAUGAGCCCGCGGCCUAUCAGCUUGUUGGUGGGGUGAUGGCCUACCAAGGCGACGACGGGUAGCCGGCCUGAGAGGGCGACCGGCCACACUGGGACUGAGACACGGCCCAGACUCCUACGGGAGGCAGCAGUGGGGAAUAUUGCACAAUGGGCGAAAGCCUGAUGCAGCGACGCCGCGUGAGGGAUGACGGCCUUCGGGUUGUAAACCUCUUUCAGCAGGGAAGAAGCGCAAGUGACGGUACCUGCAGAAGAAGCACCGGCUAACUACGUGCCAGCAGCCGCGGUAAUACGUAGGGUGCGAGCGUUGUCCGGAAUUAUUGGGCGUAAAGAGCUCGUAGGCGGCUUGUCACGUCGGAUGUGAAAGCCCGGGGCUUAACCCCGGGUCUGCAUUCGAUACGGGCAGGCUAGAGUUCGGUAGGGGAGAUCGGAAUUCCUGGUGUAGCGGUGAAAUGCGCAGAUAUCAGGAGGAACACCGGUGGCGAAGGCGGAUCUCUGGGCCGAUACUGACGCUGAGGAGCGAAAGCGUGGGGGAGCGAACAGGAUUAGAUACCCUGGUAGUCCACGCCGUAAACGUUGGGAACUAGGUGUGGGCGACAUUCCACGUCGUCCGUGCCGCAGCUAACGCAUUAAG
rnacentral:rRNA from 1 species